CAGAGUUUUCUCUUUCUUCACCAUUAAGAACACAGUGAGAAGGUGGCUGUCUGCAAGUUAGGGAGAGAGCCCUCAGCAGGAUCUGAAUCUGCCAGCACCUUGAUCUUCGGCUUCCUGAACUAGAUCAAAUAUAGACUUCUUCAACAAAAUAACAGCAGAAAAUCAUCCAGCAUAUCCUUAAACAACUCCCUUGAUGAUGGAUUGAUCAUUCCUAAAGUUAGGAUGUACUCACAUCCCAACAAAUUGAAAAUGCUGACCAAUCCCAGCACAGCCAACUCGAAUUUGCUCCUUCAUCAAAGUGACCAGCACCUCAUUUCUUCCUCUUUAGAAUUUAUAGAGUCCUAUGGCUAUUGAUAUCUAACAUCCUGGCUUCACUCACAUGGAUGAGCCCCACCUGGAAUGCCUAGAAGACGUGGGACAGCUGGAUCUCUCUCCACACGGUUUUUCAUUGUUGCCUCAGGUUCCAAUAAAAGCAAAAGCUGCAAGGUCUUCUGAGGCAAAGACUUAGAAAUACCACAAUGUUACUUCUGCUGCAUUCUGUUGAUAAAAGAAUCCCACAAUGCCAGCUUCAUUUAAAGGGGUAAAGAUAUAGAUUAUUCACCUUCGAUGGGAGGAACUGCAAAUGAUGUAAUUAGUGAUAAUUUUUAAUAUACUGUAAUGUAUUGACUUAUCUUUAAAAAAUGAAAAAAUAAACCAAAAACUAAAAGCAAAACAAAACUAUAAUAGAAAA
rnacentral:lncRNA from 1 species